GCCACAUGGUGAUUUGAAAUAUACUUUGCAUUGGCACGUGUGCAAAGAAGACUAUAUAUCUAUCACCCAUGUGUGAUGGCU